rnacentral:rRNA from 1 species
GACCUCAAAUCAGGUAGGACUACCCGCCGAACUUAAGCAUAUCAAUAAGCGGAGGAAAAGAAACUAACAAGGAUUCCCCUAGUAACUGCGAGUGAAGAGGGAAAAGCUCAAAUUUAAAAUCUGUCAGUCUUUGGCUGACCGAGUUGUAAAUUAGAGAAGUGCUAUCUGCGCCGGCCUGUGCAAAAGUCUCUUGGAAAAGAGCAUCAUAGAGGGUGACAAUCCCGUCUUUGGUACAGAGCUCCAGGGCUUCAUGAUGUGCUCUCAAUGAGUCGAGUUGUUUGGGAAUGCAGCUCUAAAUGGGUGGUAAAUUCCAUCUAAAGCUAAAUAUUGGCGAGAAACCGAUAGCGCACAAGUACCGUGAGGGAAAGAUGAAAAGAACUUUGAAAAGAGAGUUAAACAGUACGUGAAAUUGUUGAAAGGGAAACGUUUGAAGUCAG